rnacentral:tRNA from 1 species
GGGGACUUAGCUCAUUCAGCAGAGCGGCUGUUUUGCACGCAGCAGGCGGCGGGGGCAGAGCCCGCAGUCUCCACCA